rnacentral:rRNA from 1 species
AAUGAAGGCUAUAAGUCUGCUUUAAUACAUGCGAGUCGUAUGGCUUAAAAGCCAUGGCGUACGGGUGAGUAAUAAACGAUAUUCUAUACCUAACACCAGAAUAAUUCUAUCCCUUUGGGGAGAAAUUAUAGAAAAAUACUGGAUAUUUAUUAAAAAGAUUUGUUAAUUUUCAUUUAACAGAGAUUGGUUAGGGGUGAGAUCGAAUAGUAUUAGGUAGUUGGUAAAAAAGCUUACCAAGCCGAUGAUGCUUAGUUGGUUUGGAAGAACGAUCAACCACACUGGGACUGAAACAAGGCCCAGGUCUCUUUUUGAGGGCAGCAGUAGGGAAUAUUGGACGAAUGCGCGAAAGCGUGAUCCAGCAAGACUUGGUGAGGGAUUGAAGGCUUCGGUUGUAAACCUCUUUUUUAAUUGAGGAUAAUGACAGUAAAUUAAGAAGAAGUCCCGACUAACUUCGUGCCAGCCGCCGCCGUAACAC